rnacentral:rRNA from 1 species
UACGUAGGGCGCGAGCGUUGUCCGGAAUUAUUGGGCGUAAAGAGCUCGUAGGCGGCCUGUCGCGUCGGUUGUGAAAGCCCGGGGCUCAACCCCGGGUCUGCAGUCGAUACGGGCAGGCUAGAGUUCGGUAGGGGAGAUCGGAAUUCCUGGUGUAGCGGUGAAAUGCGCAGAUAUCAGGAGGAACACCGGUGGCGAAGGCGGAUCUCUGGGCCGAUACUGACGCUGAGGAGCGAAGGCGUGGGGAGCGAACAGG